AUUGAACGCUGGCGGCAGGCCUAACACAUGCAAGUCGAGCGAGAAAGGUCUUCGGACUGAGUACAGCGGCGGACGGGUGAGUAAUGCGCAGGAAUCUACCUGGUAGUGGGGGAUAACUCGGGGAAACUCGAACUAAUACCGCAUACGCCCUACGGGGAAAGCGGGGGACCUUCGGGCCUCGCGCUAUCAGAUGAGCCUGCGUAGGAUUAGCUUGUUGGUGAGGUAAAGGCUCACCAAGGCGACGAUCCUUAGCUGGUCUGAGAGGAUGAUCAGCCACACUGGAACUGAGACACGGUCCAGACUCCUACGGGAGGCAGCAGUGGGGAAUAUUGCGCAAUGGGCGAAAGCCUGACGCAGCCAUGCCGCGUGUGUGAAGAAGGCCCUUGGGUUGUAAAGCACUUUCAAUUGGGAAGAAAGGUUGCGUGUUAAUAGCACGUAGCUGUGACGUUACCUUUAGAAGAAGCACCGGCUAACUCCGUGCCAGCAGCCGCGGUAAAG
rnacentral:rRNA from 1 species